rnacentral:rRNA from 1 species
AACGAACGCUGGCGGCAGGCUUAACACAUGCAAGUCGAGCGCCCCGCAAGGGGAGCGGCAGACGGGUGAGUAACGCGUGGGAAUCUACCCAUCUCUACGGAAUAACGCAUGGAAACGUGUGCUAAUACCGUAUACGUCCUUCGGGAGAAAGAUUUAUCGGAGAUGGAUGAGCCUGCGUUGGAUUAGCUAGUUGGUGGGGUAAAGGCCUACCAAGGCGACGAUCCAUAGUUGGUCUGAGAGGAUGAUCAGCCACACUGGGACUGAGACACGGCCCAGACUCCUACGGGAGGCAGCAGUGGGGAAUAUUGGACAAUGGGCGCAAGCCUGAUCCAGCCAUGCCGCGUGAGUGAUGAAGGCCCUAGGGUUGUAAAGCUCUUUCACCGGUGAAGAUAAUGACGGUAACCGGAGAAGAAGCCCCGGCUAACUUCGUGCCAGCCGCCGCCGUAAUAC